AUGGGUCUUGCGAUAGCACUCAUAGUUACAGCUCUGUGCUGCACUGGGUUACUGGGUGAAAGUGUGACCCUGACUGAGUCUGAGCCAGUGGUCAUCAGACCUGGAGGAUCUCACAAACUGACCUGCACAGCAUCUGGAUUCACAUUUAAGAGCUACUGUAUGAGCUGGGUCAGACAGGCUCCUGGGAAAGGACUGGAAUGGCUGGCAUAUAUAUGUACUACUACCAUAUACUACUCCCAGGCAGUUCAGGGAAGGUUCACCAUCUCCAGAGACGACAGCAUUAACCAGCUCUAUCUGCAGAUGAACAGUCUGAAGGCUGAAGACACGGCUGUCUAUUACUGUGCUCGAGAGGCACAGUGA